CCUACGGGAGGCAGCAGUGAGGAAUAUUGGUCAAUGGUCGGGAGCCUGAACCAGCCAAGUCGCGUGAGGGAGGAAGGUCCUGUGGAUUGUAAACCUCUUUUGUCAGGGAACAAAGGCGGCGACGUGUGCACGGAUGAGUGUACCUGAAGAAAAAGCAUCGGCUAACUCCGUGCCAGCAGCCGCGGUAAUACGGAGGAUGCGAGCGUUAUCCGGAUUUAUUGGGUUUAAAGGGAGCGUAGGGGGUUUGUUAAGGCAGUUGUGAAAGUUUGGGGCUCAACCGUCAAAUUGCAGUUGAAACUGGCAGUCUUGAGUACAGGAGAGGUGUGCGGAAUGCGCGGUGUAGCGGUGAAAUGCAUAGAUAUCACGAAGAACUCCGAUUGCGAAGGCAGCUCACUGGACUGAAACUGACACUGAGGCACGAAAGCGUGGGUAUCAAACAGGAUUAGAUACCCUGGUAGUC
rnacentral:rRNA from 1 species